CCCCGGCAUCUCCCGGACCUUCCUCUCUCCUGCCCCCGUUUCGUGCUCUUCACCAACUAUCUUACAGCAUUUCCAGUUUUCCAAACUCCUACGGGACCGGACGUCUCCCCACCAUUCCCAUGACGUCCAGUAUGUUUUAUCCGACUUUGUAAGGUAAGCGUUAAUAUCACAUCAUGGGAGACUUCGGAAAAAAAAUACAGCUGAGAGAAAUGACAACCACUUCUUUUUCUUUGCAAAAGCUUGUUUCAGAAGUAAUUCCUCCGGUUUUUGGCUGUGCCAAUACUGUUGUGGCAUAUAUACUGUAUACAUGCCUGCAAUCUUGAUUCCCCUACUUGUCCAGAUAAAGGCACUAGCCUGAGAUUGCACCAGCUCCCUCCUGAGCAUCAAGUUUUCUUUUACAUAGAAAAACCAAACAGCAAAAGGACAGGAAUGGUGCUUCAGAUAUAAAAUCCAGACACAAUUUUUUUUAAUCCAGACUCAGCAACAGAGGGAUGCCCUCAUGCCCCAUAAUGCAAUUACAUUCUGAACAUCCUGUUGUAAUUGGAGUGGUUCAUAUUUCCAGGCACAACAACACAAAUCUGCAAAAUUCCCACAUAAUGUAGUAUGAGACUAAGCACUAAAUUAAAUUGUUGUUUCUUCAAGGAUAUUUUCCAAAAGUAUAUCUAUCUUCUAAAGGAUAUCACCCUGCUUCAAGUUCUUUCAUUUAUCCAUGCCCAGAACCGACAAAGCAGAAACUCAGAAUCUUAACCAGAUUUAACUGAAGGGAUAAUGCAAUAGUAGAUGAAGUUUAUUGGUAAUAAAUGAGAAAUCAUUCACCCCUGGGACACCUAGACCUGACAGGGUCUCCUAAACGAAGCCUUCAAAAACACCUCUUUUCAUUGACUGUAUAGAAUGGCCAAACCAUUCAGUCUGGGAACUGAGGAAGAAGUGUGUCUCACAGGCUGAAAUCAACAGGCUGCUUUUAGGACAAGGUACACCAUGUAUCCAUAGCUCAAUUCAGAUUAUAGAAUUAUUGAGGUUGGAAAAGAUCUCUAAGACCAUUGAGCUCACCUGUUAACCCAGCACUGCCAAGUCCAUCACUAAGCCUUGUCUUUUAAAUACCUCCAGGGAUGGUGACUCAACCACUUCCCUAGGCAGCCUCUUCCACUGCCUGACAACACUCGAGGUGAAGAAAUUUUUCUUAGUAUCCAGUCUGAACCUCGCUGGCACAUCUUGAGAUAAUUUUCCCUCAUCCUGCCAUAUAUUUGGGACACCCCCUUUCAGGUAGUUGUAGAGUGAUAAUGUCUCCCCUGAGGCUCCUUUUCUGCAGGCUGAACAACCCCAGCUCCCUCAGCCAUUCCUCACAUGACUUACUCUGUAGACCCUUCAAGGCUCCAUUGCCCUUCUCUGGACACAAUCCAGAGCCUCAAUGCCUCAAUGUUUUCUGCAAAAAGAGAACUGUAAAGAAGGCUAGAAUGCAAUUCUGCUAAUAGAGAUAAACAGUGUCAAAACUAGAGGCUGGGUUGUUAGUCUCUGAGUGAUCCUGGUGAACAGUUACUUUUCUGCAUUUGUUAUCAUGUUAUGUUAAUGCAAUUAAUAUGCACAAAGAGUAGAUACUGAUCAACUGCUCUCAGAAGAGACUAAUUUUUUUUUUCUGCCAUCAGCAACUGAGUUUGUUAAGGUCAUGAAUCACCUCAUUCUUCAGCAAUGACUGAUUUCAGAAUGGGACUGAACCAGCCUCCACCUACUGGUUAAUAGUUAACAAUUUCAAGUGUCUGAUAAAUUCUGGGCCAGAUCUGAAAACACGUGAGGGCUUAGAGUUAAUAUUUAUCUUAGCAGGGUGAAAAUAUAAACAGCUUAUUUCUGUAGCCUCUUGUAAUUUGUUUUCAUUUUCUUUAUGAAACAAAUGGAGCACAAGCUGCCACCUGUCUUGCCAGGGAGACAAUAAAAGAGCUGAUCAGAAAAGUCUCUCAGAAGACCAGACAGGAAGAAGCUACAAGGACCAGAAUCAUAAUUUACCACCACUAAUCAGGCAAGAACUUCUGCAAUGUACUAAAUCAUGCAAGGCACUCAAAUGAUGCACUGAGAAGAAACAAUUGUUUCCUUCCAUCUUAAACCAGCUACCACAAGACUGGAAUGGCUUCACUCACUGCUGGUAAUUUCCUGCUAGUUUUUCAUCCAUUGUAUUGGCAAUUUGAGCAUAGAGACAAUGAGGAAAAGGUUUUAUCUGGAAAACAAACUCAAUUUCCACUUCUUGACUUGACUAAAUUCUUCCAUUUUAAAAAGUCCUCCAGUUUCAAGUUCUUGCAGCUCUUGUGCUUUCAUGCAAACCUUUGUUACAGAUCUUUUCUCCUUCAUGAUCACAAAAUGUACUUGCAAUGAGUAUAAGCACAUUGUGAACUUGUGUGUCUUAUGCAUCAAAACACAGGCUGUGACCUGAAGCUCACUGAAGUGGAUGGAUUUUUUUGCUAUUUGCUCUGAAGAAUACAGCUAACAAGUGUUAGCUGUAUUGCAAUUUCUCCAUCUGUGCUCAAUUAUUUCUUUUUGUUAGUAUCCAUGAUCAGUUUGUCCAGAAGUUAGUUAAUUUAUAACCCUAAUCAAAAACUCAUAACAGAAUUUAAAUUCAAGUCCAUCCUUCAGUGAAGAAUUUUAGUAUAGGUUUCAUUUAGGUGUGCUUUUAACUGUUAUUGGUAUUCCUAAGAGCCAAGAAAAUACUUCAGCACCCAGCUGAGUAUGCCAUGGGAUUAAGUCCAUACUUGCCAUUUCACUGAGAAUGGAAUUUUUUUUCCUAGACUCACUGAUGUCUUACAAUCAGACUGGGUAUUCCUAUUUCUUUUUAUUUUACCCUCUUCCAUUCAUUUUUUCCAUGCAUAUAUUCUAUAAUGAAGGUUUGAAUCAAUAUUUUGUAGUCUUUCUCUUCUCCUUUGGACAUACCCCCUUCUGUUUCACCUUUUAAUUUCAAGCACUUUUUCCAUUCAGUGUCAUUUGUCUAUAUUAAAUUAAUUGUCACCUUUCUCCUUUUUCUGAUUUAUGAA